UACGUAGGGUGCAAGCGUUAAUCGGAAUUACUGGGCGUAAAGCGUGCGCAGGCGGUUUUGUAAGUCUGUCGUGAAAUCCCCGGGCUCAACCUGGGAAUGGCGAUGGAGACUGCAAGGCUAGAGUUUGGCAGAGGGGGGUAGAAUUCCACGUGUAGGCAGUGAAAAUGCGUAGAUAUGUGGAGGAACACCGAUGGCGGAAGGCAGCCCCCUGGGUCAAAACUGACGCUCAUGCACGAAAGCGUUGGGGAGCAAACAGG
rnacentral:rRNA from 1 species